GGACCAUGCCUUGGCCCAGGCAGAACUGCUAAAGCGUCAAGAAGAACUGGAAAGAAAAGCAGCUGAACUGGAUCGCAGAGAAAGGGAAAUGCAGAGUCUCAAUCAGCAGGGGGGUAGAAAAAAUAACUGGCCACCUCUUCCUGAGAAUUUUCCAGUGGGUCCAUGUUUCUAUCAGGACUUCUCUGUAGACAUUCCUGUAGAAUUCCAGAAGACAGUAAAGAUUAUGUACUAUUUGUGGAUGUUCUAUACAGUGACACUGUUUCUUAAUAUCUUUGGAUGUUUGGCCUGGUUUUACAUUGAUGCAACAUGAGGGGUUGAUUUUGGGUUGAGUGUCCUCUGGUUUUUGCUUUUCACCCGUUGUUCUUCUAUCUGCUGGUACAGACCACUUUAUGGAGCUUUCAGUGGGUGGAUUUCAUCUCUUACUGGUCUUAAUAAGAGUAUCCCUGUUGGCAUUAUGAUGUUAAUCAUAGCUGUGCUUUUCACAGCAUCUGCUGUUAUUUCAUUAGUCAUGUUUAAAAAGGUGCAUGGUCUCUACCGCACAACUGGUGCUAGUUUUGAGAAAGCGCAGCAGGAGUUUGCAACGGGAGUGAUGUCCAACAAAACUGUACAAACUGCUGCAGCCAAUGCUGCAUCAACAACAGCAACCAGCUCAGAAUGCGUUCAAGGCUAACCUGUGAGAAAUGACUACGGCGCAGAAACAUUCUCUGUAACAGAAUGUGUAAUGCAGUGUACAGUUUAAGGAAGUUAACUGAUGGUUUCAAUCACAGAGCUAAAUGAUUAUAUAUCAGUGUACAGUUUAAGGAAGUUAACUGAUGGUUUCAAUCACAGAGCUAAAUGAUUAUAUAUUUGUUAUUUUUAAUUUCAGUAUUCAUGUCUCGGAGUAAUCAUUUUGCUGGAAAAUAAACAAAUAUUGACCUUUAGAA